GCUGGCUUUUGAAGAUGAUACAACAAACCAUAGCAUAGUUCACACUGAAAAACCUGUGUUGAUAACCAUUCAUCUUGUCUUUCGCUCCUAUCUGACCCUUU
rnacentral:snoRNA from 1 species